rnacentral:rRNA from 1 species
AUGUCGAGCUCCACUUCAGCCUCCCGCCUCUCAUGGACCCAGUAUGGUCCAUUUCCCAUGGAGCAAUGUCCUGACUGCCCAUGCAGCGCGCCACUAAUACGGUUGACUUCGAAGGAGGUCAAGAAUGGAAACUAUCGGCGCGAGUUCGUGAAAUGCGAGAGGUUCAUGUUUUCGUUUCAGAUCAUGAAGAAAUGCACACAUUUUGAAUGGCUGGAUGACUACGUUAAGCAGAUUCAAUUCAAUGGGGCCCCAACCCGGGAGCUCAAUCUGCCGUCAGCACCAACAAAUUUGGUCUCUGAAAGUGCUGCUCUAACAGUUGGGGAUGCAGAUCUGAAGGGGGAAUUAAAGAAGAUGAACAAGAACUUGAAGCAGAUGAUUCAAUUGAACAAGCACGUGAAUCUGAUAGCUUUAGGAUUUUAUCCCUUUUAUUUUUGUGUAGUUGCUCUAGGA